GCAUUGUUGGUCCAGCGGUAGGAUAUUUGCCUUCCAUCUCCGAAUACGGCGAGCAAAUGGCUCGGGUUCGACUCCCGGACAAUGCA
rnacentral:tRNA from 1 species